ACAACUUUCAACAACGGAUCUCUUGGUUCUGGCACCGAUGAAGAACGCAGCGAAAUGCGAUAAGUAGUGUGAAUUGCAGAAUUCAGUGAAUCAUCGAAUCUUUGAACGCACAUUGCGCCCUUUGGUAUUCCAAAGGGCAUGCCUGUUCGAGCGUCAUUU
rnacentral:rRNA from 1 species